UAAAAGGGCUUCAACAACUGAAUGUUUCAAACAAUAUUCUGUCAAGAAUGUUGUUUGCGGAAUCUAAAUCAAGAGAUUUCGGAAGCAUAAUUUUUACGAAUGGGACAGCUGUUACCUGCAGUUACAGCAUCCCG